UUCAACUUGACGGGACACUGUAUCAUCUGAUGUGUCUGAAGUAUAAUUCUGUAUACGACUGAUGGAAUGUCCGCUACCAAUUUUUUUUUCAUGUUUAUCAAUGAUUAUGUAUCUCUUCUUUUGAAAGGCUUCCUAAGACAAAGUGCAGUUAAAGGUACCCGGAUCCAGCUGUUGAGGGAGUCCCAAAUUAAGCAGUGUUGUUAUUUUUUUGGACGCAUGAAUCAUGACAUGGGGGAAUUACCAGUCCGCUGGGCCCUUUGUCUUGCUUCAAUAACAAAUCUCACCAGAUUGGGUCUGCUGGAUGGUCAGGAUUUCUCCCUAAGGAUUAGCCCUCUAACUCCCUGACCCUGUAACUCUGCAGUGAGAUCACCAACCCCCUGACCUGUAACUCUGCAGUGAGAUCGCCAACAUGAUAGGGGAGUAUAAGCCAAUUUGGGAGAAAAACAAUGGUUUCAACUGUGUGUUGUUAUUCUCUUUGACAUUUGUUUUAGAAAUCUGUAUUAAGAAUAUUGGUAGUAGUAAUAAUUUGUC